rnacentral:rRNA from 1 species
UACAGAGGUCUCAAGCGUUGUUCGGAUUCAUUGGGCGUAAAGGGCGCGUAGGCGGCGGGGUAAGUCGGGUGUGAAAUCUCAGGGCUCAACCCUGAAACUGCACUCGAUACUGCUCUGCUUGAGGACUGGAGAGGAGACUGGAAUUUACGGUGUAGCGGUGAAAUGCGUAGAUAUCGUAAGGAAGACCAGUGGCGAAGGCGGGUCUCUGGACAGUUCCUGACGCUGAGGCACGAAGGCCAGGGGAGCAAACGGG